UUUUUUUUGUUUUUGUUGUUUUUUGUUUGCGUGUGGCCAUUUUGCAGGUGUGAUGUGACGUGCGUGGACGCGAUGACGGUGGCGGCGACAUGCUCAAGGGAGGCCAGCAGAACACGCCGCGCUGGGGGCUUUGGCAGAGGUGCGGCGCGCCCUAGGGCUUGCUUGCUGCUGAAUGUUUGUAAUUUUUGGCUAGGGUUAACUUUGGGCCAUUAGUUUUUUUAGAAUUGGGCUUGUGGGUUCUGAUGGACUAUAAUUUUUUGUUUUUGUUUUGGCACUGGGCCCGGGCAAAAUGGGCUUGUACAGCUGCCCUCUUUGGUCAUUGUCGUGUAACGAGAAUAGAGCAAAAACUAAGAAAGACCAAUUUUGCCCGGUCUCACUGACUUGACUGGUUCCG
rnacentral:lncRNA from 1 species